rnacentral:rRNA from 1 species
CCCACUGAUAAUGAUUCAACGGCCGCGGUAUUUUGACCGUGCGAAGGUAGCGUAAUCACUUGUCUUUUAAAUGAAGACCCGUAUGAACGGCAAGACGAGGGCUUAACUGUCUCCUUUUUUAAGUCAAUGAAAUUGAUCUCCCCGUGCAGAAGCGGGGAUCAGACCAUAAGACGAGAAGACCCUAUGGAGCUUUAGACACCAUGACAGACCAUGUUGAGACCUCCUUACACACAAGGACUCUUUAAUGACCACUACUGUCCAGAUGUCUUCGGUUGGGGCGACCCUGGGGAAACAAAUAACCCCCGUGUGGACUGGGAGCAAUUGAAUUUACCCGGAUAUUCCUUAUCUACCAUCUCUCUCCUCCCACAAUUAAGAGCCGCAACUCUAGCUAGCAGAACCUCUGACCUACCAUGAUCCGGCAAAGCCGAUCAACGGACCAAGUUACCCUAGGGAUAACAGCGCAAUCCCCUUCUAGAGCCCAUAUCGACAGGGGGUUUACGACCUCGAUGUUGGAUCAGGACAUCCUAAUGGCGCAACCGCUAUUAA